UGGGAGUAAGGGAAGGAAUACAGGGAGGGAACAGAUAAGGGGCCAUUUGAGGUGUCAUUUGGAAAUCCAAUAUAGUAGAAGCUUCUUAAAAUAUAUGCAUAUAUGAAAGAAACCUAAAUGGAAUGACUAAAUAAUGGGGGAGAUAAAAGCCCCAACUAGACAUUUCUUGCUGCUAGAUGAAACUUCCAAUGGGUUAUAUCUAAUUGAAUUAUUGGUCAAAGGGGCACCAUGGAAACCCCCAAACAACCCAGGUUAUUUGUUGUUCUCCAUAGACUGAUGGUCAGACCCUAUGCUGAAGAUAACACCUACAUAACACAUUGAACACCGAGAAGUCAAGCUGAUGCAUACCAAAACCCUUCAUCCAUAUUGACUAGUGUUCAUAGUAUUUGAAGGCUCUCUGCAUGCUACCAGAGGAGAAAGGCUGCGUGUGUCUUCGGGAGAUCCUGCCAUGCUUUGCUUUGGAGAAUGACGACCGUGCAGCAUCUAUUGAUGCUCCUGAUGUGAACUCUAUCAGAGUCACAAUUGGCUCCUGGAUUCAAUGAAAAAUGGCUUGUUAAAAUUGCCAGGAGUCAUCAGUCAACUUAAACUCACCUCUUGUGAAUGUCUUAGAUGUGGUCUCACAGGGAAUACUGUGAGACCUCCAAGGAAUACCUUUGGUGACAUAAACAAACUGCAAUCAUGAGAAUACCUUUGAGGCAAUUCACUAGUGAACUGCUGCUGCUUCUCCGGAAGGUAAUGCUGCUGAGAGGUGGGGAAGAUGGCUUCAUGGCAAACAGCGAUGCUCUUCUACAGGCAGCAGAAAGAGGAAAGUGUGUGGUCAGUUGGAGGUGUUUUAAAAACUACUUUUGUCCAUCAGAAGCUGACUUGGAACACGGCAACUCUGUAGAUAUUCCUGCCUUAGCCUCCUGAGCACUGAGAUGACAGAUGGUGACAACCUUCUGAUCUAAUGCAUCACUCAAGCCUCCCAACCUGUUUCCUGCUUUGAGUUGGGAGAGUCAAACAGUUAAGACCAUA
rnacentral:lncRNA from 1 species